ACAAAAGGGAAAAAGGCGUGGCGGGCGCAAGCUCGUUUCACGUUCUGCUCCCGAAAUCCUGUAUUCACCCCAAGUUCCUUUAAAAUUUCAAUAAAAAACUCUGCAAAAAGACCACUUUUUAAAGUGGCAUCUAAUUGCACAUAGCGA
rnacentral:misc_RNA from 1 species